GUAGCGAGGUUAACCGUAUAGGGGAGCCGUAGAGAAAUCGAGUCUUAAUAGGGCGUUUAGUUGCUGGGUAUAGACCCGAAACCAGGCGAUCUAUCCAUGAGCAGGUUGAAGGUUGGGUAACACUAACUGGAGGACCGAACCCACUGUCGUUGAAAAGCCAGGGGAUGACUUGUGGAUAGGGGUGAAAGGCUAAUCAAGCCUGGUGAUAGCUGGUUCUCCCCGAAAGCUAUUUAGGUAGCGCCUCGGACGAAUACCAUAGGGGGUAGAGCACUGUUUCGGCUAGGGGGUCAUCCCGACUUACCAAACCGAUGCAAACUCCGAAUACCUAUGAGUACUAUCCGGGAGACAGACUGCGGGUGCUAACGUCCGUAGUCAAGAGGAAAACAAUCCAGACCGCCAGCUAAGGCCCCAAAAUCAUAGUUAAGUGGGAAACGAUGUGGGAAGGCAUAGACAGCUAGGAGGUUGGCUUAGAAGCAGCCACCCUUUAAAGAAAGCGUAAUAGCUCACUAGUCGAGUCGGCCUGCGCGGAAGAUGUAACGGGGCUAAAACUAUGUGCCGAAGCUGCGGAUUUGACAUUAGUCAAGUGGUAGGGGAGCGUUCUGUAAGCCGAUGAAGGUGUAUUGAGAAGUAUGCUGGAGGUAUCAGAAGUGCGAAUGCUGACGUGAGUAACGACAAAACGGGUGAAAAACCCGUUCGCCGAAAGACCAAGGGUUCCAGUCCAACGUUAAUCGGGGCUGGGUGAGUCGACCCCUAAGGCGAGGCCGAAAGGCGUAGUCGAUGGGAAAUUGGUUAAUAUUCCAAUACUUCUGUGUAAUGCGAUGAGAGGACGGAGAAGGUUAAGUCAGCCUGGCGUUGGUUGUCCAGGUGGAAGGAUGUAGGUAUGUAUCUUAGGCAAAUCCGGGGUACUCUAUACUGAGAUCCGAUAGCAAGCUGUACUUGUACAGUGAAGUGGCUGAUACCAUGCUUCCAGGAAAAGUCUCUAAGCUUCAGUUACACAGGAAUCGUACCCGAAACCGACACAGGUGGUCAGGUCGAGUAGACCAAGGCGCUUGAGAGAACUCUGCUGAAGGAACUAGGCAAAAUGGUACCGUAACUUCGGGAGAAGGUACGCUGUUGUUGGUGAUGGAACUUGCUUCCUGAGCUGACGACAGCCGCAGAAACCAGGCCGCUGCAACUGUUUAUUAAAAACAUAGCACUCUGCAAACACGAAAGUGGACGUAUAGGGUGUGAUGCCUGCCCGGUGCUGGAAGGUUAAUUGAUGGGGUUAGCGUAAGCGAAGCUCUUGAUCGAAGCCCCAGUAAACGGCGGCCGUAACUAUAACGGUCCUAAGGUAGCGAAAUUCCUUGUCGGGUAAGUUCCGACCUGCACGAAUGGCAUAAUGAUGGCGGCGCUGUCUCCAGCAGAGGCUCAGUGAAAUCGAAAUCGCUGUGAAGAUGCAGUGUACCCGCGGCUAGACGGAAAGACCCCGUGAACCUUUACUGCAGCUUGACACUGAACUUUGACCUUACUUGUGUAGGAUAGGUGGGAGGCUUUGAAGUUGGAACGCUAGUUCCAAUGGAGCCGUCCUUGAAAUACCACCCUGGUAAUGUUGAGGUUCUAACUCUGUCCCGUUAUCCGGGACGAGGACCGUGUCUGGUGGGUAGUUUGACUGGGGCGGUCUCCUCCUAAAGAGUAACGGAGGAGUACGAAGGUGCGCUCAGCGUGGUCGGAAAUCACGCGUAGAGUAUAAAGGCAAAAGCGCGCUUAACUGCGAGACCCACAAGUCGAGCAGGUACGAAAGUAGGUCUUAGUGAUCCGGUGGUUCUGUAUGGAAGGGCCAUCGCUCAACGGAUAAAAGGUACUCUGGGGAUAACAGGCUGAUACCGCCCAAGAGUUCAUAUCGACGGCGGUGUUUGGCACCUCGAUGUCGGCUCAUCUCAUCCUGGGGCUGAAGCAGGUCCCAAGGGUAUGGCUGUUCGCCAUUUAAAGAGGUACGCGAGCUGGGUUUAGAACGUCGUGAGACAGUUCGGUCCCUAUCUACCGUGGGCGCUGGAAAUUUGAGAGGAUCUGCUCCUAGUACGAGAGGACCAGAGUGGACGAACCUCUGGUGUACCGGUUGUGACGCCAGUCGCAU
rnacentral:rRNA from 1 species